CCUACGGGGGGCAGCAGUGGGGAAUAUUGGACAAUGGGGGGAACCCUGAUCCAGCCAUGCCGCGUGUGUGAAGAAGGCCCUCGGGUUGUAAAGCACUUUCAGUGAGGAAGAACGCCUGGUGGUUAAUACCCAUCAGGAAAGACAUCACUCACAGAAGAAGCACCGUCUAACUCCGUGCCAGCAGCCGCGGUAAUACGGAGGGUGCGAGCGUUAAUCGGAAUUACUGGGCGUAAAGCGCGCGUAGGUGGCUUGAUAAGCCGGUUGUGAAAGCCCCGGGCUCAACCUGGGAACGGCAUCCGGAACUGUCAAGCUAGAGUGCAGGAGAGGAAGGUAGAAUUCCCGGUGUAGCGGUGAAAUGCGUAGAGAUCGGGAGGAAUACCAGUGGCGAAGGCGGCCUUCUGGACUGACACUGACACUGAGGUGCGAAAGCGUGGGUAGCAAACAGGAUUAGAUACCCCAGUAGUC
rnacentral:rRNA from 1 species